rnacentral:rRNA from 1 species
CUGUUUGGUAAAUGCUUGUGUAAAUCGGUCGGCUUAACCGACCGAACUGCGGGUAGACUGCCAGACUUGGGACCGGGAGAGUCACGAAGUACUCCGGGGGUAGAGGUGAAAUUCUGUAAUCCUCGGGGGACUACCGGUGGCGAAGGCGUCGUGAUAGAACGGCUCCGACGGUGAGGGACGAAGCCCUGGGGCGCAAACCGGAUUAGAUACCCGGGUAGUCCAGGGUGUAAACGCUGCGGUCUUGGUGUCGGGAGUCCUACGGGGGCACCCGGUGCCGGAGAGAAGUUGUUAAGACCGCUGCCUGGGGA